UGGGGAAUUUUGGACAAUGGGGGAAACCCUGAUCCAGCCAUGCCGCGUGCGGGAAGAAGGCCUUCGGGUUGUAAACCGCUUUUGUCAGGGAAGAAAUCUUCUGGGCUAAUACCACAGAGGGAUGACGGUACCUGAAGAAUAAGCACCGGCUAACUACGUGCCAGCAGCCGCGGUAAUACGUAGGGUGCAAGCGUUAAUCGGAAUUACUGGGCGUAAAGCGUGCGCAGGCGGUUGUGCAAGACAGGUGUGAAAUCCCCGGGCUUAACCUGGGAACUGCACUUGUGACUGCACAGCUGGAGUACGGCAGAGGGGGAUGGAAUUCCGCGUGUAGCAGUGAAAUGCGUAGAUAUGCGGAGGAACACCGAUGGCGAAGGCAGUCCCCUGGGCCUGUACUGACGCUCAUGCACGAAAGCGUGGGGAGCAAACAGGAUUAGAUACCCCCGUAGUCCCUGAGCGGGCUGGCAAGGCGCAU
rnacentral:rRNA from 1 species